rnacentral:rRNA from 1 species
ACGCUGGCGGCACGCCUAACACAUGCAAGUCGAACGAAGUAGCAAUACUUAGUGGCAGACGGGUGAGUAACAUGUAGGUAUCUGCCCUUUGGCCUGGAAUAACACGAGGAAACUUGUGCUAAUACCGGAUAAGUCUUUACGGAGAAAGCUUUAUGCACCAUUGGAUGAGCCUGCACUUGAUUAGUUUGUUGGUGGGGUAAUGGCCUACCAAGACUGUGAUCAAUAGCUGAUUUGAGAGGAUGAUCAGCCACAUUGGGACUGAGACACGGCCCAAACUCCUACGGGAGGCAGCAGUGGGGAAUCUUGCACAAUGGAGGAAACUCUGAUGCAGCGAUGCCGCGUGAGUGAAGAAGGCCCUUGGGUUGUAAAGCUCUUUCGUCGGGGAAGAAAAUGACUGUACCCGAAUAAGAAGGUCCGGCUAACUUCGUGCCAGCAGCCGCGGUAAUACGAAGGGACCUAGCGUAGUUCGGAAUUACUGGGCUUAAAGAGUUCGUAGGUGGUUGAAAAAGUUAGUGGUGAAAUCCCAGAGCUUAACUCUGGAACUGCCAUUAAAACUUUUCAGCUAGAGUAUGAUAGAGGAAAGCAGAAUUUCUAGUGUAGAGGUGAAAUUCGUAGAUAUUAGAAAGAAUACCAAUUGCGAAGGCAGCUUUCUGGAUCAUUACUGACACUGAGGAACGAAAGCAUGGGUAGCGAAGAGGAUUAGAUACCCUCGUAGUCCAUGCCGUAAACGAUGUGUGUUAGACGUUGGAAAUUUAUUUUCAGUGUCGCAGGGAAACCGAUAAACACACCGCCUGGGGAGUACGACCGCAAGGUUAAAACUCAAAUGAAUUGACGGGGACCCGCACAAGUAGUGGAGCAUGUGGUUUAAUUCGAAGAUACGCGCAGAACCUUACCAACACUUGACAUGUUCGUCGCGACUCUAAGAGAUUAGAGUUUUCGGUUCGGCCGGACGAAACACAGGUGCUGCAUGGCUGUCGUCAGCUCGUGUCGUGAGAUGUUGGGUUAAGUCCCGCAACGAGCGCAACCCUCACUUUUAGUUGCCAUCAUUAAGUUGGGCACUCUGAAAGAACUGCCAGUGAUAAGCUGGAGGAAGGUGGGGAUGACGUCAAGUCCUCAUGGCCCUUACGUGUUGGGCUACACACGUGCUACAAUGGUAUCUACAACAGGAAGCAAGACUGCGAAGUUAAGCAAAUCCCUAAAAGAUACCUCAGUUCGGAUUGCACUCUGCAACUCGAGUGCAUGAAGCUGGAAUUACUAGUAAUCGUGGAUCAGCGUGCCACGGUGAAUGCGUUCCCGGGUCUUGUACUCACCGC